rnacentral:rRNA from 1 species
CCUACGGGAGGCAGCAGUAGGGAAUCUUUCACAAUGGGCGAAAGCCUGAUGGAGCAACGCCGCGUGCAGGAUGAAGGCCUUCGGGUUGUAAACUGCUUUUAUAAGCGAGAAAUAUGAUGGUAACUUAUGAAUAAGGAUCGGCUAACUACGUGCCAGCAGCCGCGGUCAUACGUAGGAUCCGAGCAUUAUCCGGAGUGACUGGGUGUAAAGAGUUGCGUAGGUGGCAUAAUAAGUAGCUAGUGAAAUCUGGUGGCUCAACCAUUCAGACUAUUAGCUAAACUGUUAAGCUCGAGACCGUUAGGGGUAACUGGAAUUUCUAGUGUAGGAGUGAAAUCCGUAGAUAUUAGAAGGAACACCAAUAGCGAAGGCAGGUUGCUGGGACGGUUCUGACACUAAGGCACGAAAGCGUAGGGAGCAAACGGGAUUAGAUACCCCAGUAGUC